rfam:Vigna angularis cultivar Jingnong 6 scaffold28_10, whole genome shotgun sequence.
AAUCUGGUGGUGCGAGAAGCUAUCACAAAGCUUCUUAAACCUUUCCCAUUAUUCAUAUAAGUUUUCUCCACCAAACUGCCUAAUCCCAGAAAUGUCUUUUCUGAUAAU